rnacentral:lncRNA from 1 species
GGUUGCUAGGGUGACAGGGACACAACAUGGCGGCGGGAUCUCUAACGCUCUCCUUCGAGGGACCACCACGGAGAUCCUAGUGCGGGACCCCGCCUCAGGGAAGUGGAAAGCAGGGGGACAACCUUCCUGCUUCUUUCUUUUCCGUCCAGUGUCGGCAAGGGGUUGUCACCGGCUUCCGCAUCCAAGAUGAAGAACUAUAAAGCAAUUGGCAAAAUAGGAGAGGGAACGUUUUCUGAAGUUAUGAAGAUGCAAAGCCUGAGAGAUGGAAACUACUAUGCAUGUAAACAAAUGAAGCAGCGCUUUGAAAGACUAGGGAAUUGAAAUUCGGAGAGAUCAAGUUCCCCACCUGGCCCGUUGCUACCCAACCUACACGUCGUGGAGCUGACUCUGAGCCCAGGGAGAAGAUACCCAUUAUCAGAAAAAAAAAUUAUGCACUAUAUGUACCAGUUAUGUAAGUCCCUGGAUCAUAUUCACAGAAAUGGAAUAUUUCACAGAGAUGUAAAACCAGAAAAUAUACUAAUAAAGCAGGAUGUCCUGAAAUUAGGGGAC